AACGAACGCUGGCGGCAGGCCUAACACAUGCAAGUCGAACGCCCUGGCAACAGGGAGUGGCAGACGGGUGAGUAACGCGUGGGAACGUGCCCUUCGGUUCGGAAUAACUCAGGGAAACUUGAGCUAAUACCGAAUACGUGCGAGAGCAGAAAGAUUUAUCGCCGAAGGAUCGGCCCGCGUCCGAUUAGCUAGUUGGUGAGGUAAAGGCUCACCAAGGCGACGAUCGGUAGCUGGUCUGAGAGGAUGAUCAGCCACACUGGGACUGAGACACGGCCCAGACUCUUACGGGAGGCAGCAGUGGGGAAUAUUGGACAAUGGGCGCAAGCCUGAUCCAGCCAUGCCGCGUGAGUGAUGAAGGCCCUAGGGUUGUAAAGCUCUUUCGCCAGGGACGAUAAUGACGGUACCUGGAUAAGAAGCCCCGGCUAACUUCGUGCCAGCCGCCGCAGUAA
rnacentral:rRNA from 1 species